rnacentral:rRNA from 1 species
AACGAACGCUGGCGGCAUGCCUAACACAUGCAAGUCGAACGAGACCUUCGGGUCUAGUGGCGCACGGGUGCGUAACGCGUGGGAACCUGCCCUUAGGUUCGGAAUAACUCCCCGAAAGGGGUGCUAAUACCGGAUAAUGUCUUCGGACCAAAGAUUUAUCGCCCUUGGAUGGGCCCGCGUUGGAUUAGCUAGUUGGUAGGGUAAAAGCCUACCAAGGCGACGAUCCAUAGCUGGUCUGAGAGGAUGAUCAGCCACACUGGGAGUGAGACACGGCCCAGACUCCUACGGGAGGCAGCAGUGGGGAAUAUUGGACAAUGGGCGAAAGCAUGAUCGAGCAAUGCCGCGUGAGUGAUGAAGGCCUUAGGGUUGUAAAGCUCUUUUACCCGGGAUGAUAAUGACAGUACCGGGAGAAUAAGCUCCGGCUAACUCCGUG